GAUGAAGAACGCAGCGAAAUGCGAUAAGUAGUGUGAAUUGCAGAAUUCAGUGAAUCAUCGAAUCUUUGAACGCACAUUGCGCCUCCUGGUAUUCCGGGAGGCAUGCCUGUUCGAGCGUCAUUAAAAUCACUCAAGCUUAGGUUUACCUAUUGCUUGGUCUUGGAGAUGGAAGCCAAUUCAUUGGAAUCCUCUUCGAAAUCCAAUGGCGAAGACCCUUGCUCUCCCAAGUGUAGUAAUAACUUAUGUCACUGAAGGAAGCGAGAAAUCUUCCGCCGUAACCCCCAUAUUUUCUAUGAUUGACCUCGGAUCAGGUAGGGAUACCCGCUGAACUUAAGCAUAUCAAUAAGCGGAGG
rnacentral:misc_RNA from 1 species